rnacentral:rRNA from 1 species
ACGGGCGGUGAGUGCAACCCUUAUCCUUUGUUGCCAGCGGUCCGGCCGGGAACUCAAAGGAGACUGCCAGUGAUAAACUGGAGGAAGGUGGGGAUGACGUCAAGUCAUCAUGGCCCUUACGACCAGGGCUACACACGUGCUACAAUGGCGCAUACAAAGAGAAGCGACCUCGCGAGAGCAAGCGGACCUCAUAAAGUGCGUCGUAGUCCGGAUUGGAGUCUGCAACUCGACUCCAUGAAGUCGGAAUCGCUAGUAAUCGUGGAUCAGAAUGCCACGGUGAAUACGUUCCCGGGCCUUGCACACACCGCCCGU